UACCAUAAACACAGCACUCUGCUAACACGUAAGUGGAUGUAUAGGGUGUGACGCCUGCCCGGUGCUCGAAGGUUAAUUGAUGAUGUUAGCUAUGCGAAGCAUUUGAUCGAAGCCCGAGUAAACGGCGGCCGUAACUAUAACGGUCCUAAGGUAGCGAAAUUCCUUGUCGGUUAAAUACCGACCUGCAUGAAUGGCGUAACGAGAUGGGAGCUGUCUCAAAGAGGGAUCCAGUGAAAUUGUAGUGGAGGUGAAAAUUCCUCCUACCCGCGGCAAGACGGAAAGACCCCGUGGACCUUUACUACAGCUUGACACUGCUACUUGGAUAAAGAUGCGCAGGAUAGGUGGGAGGCUUUGAUCCAUAGACCCUGGUUUAUGGUGAGCCAUUGUUGAGAUACCACUCUUCUUUAUUCGGGU
rnacentral:rRNA from 1 species